GCUUAUAUCAUCUAAUGGUUAGGAUAUUGCUUUUUCAUAGCAAGAACACGAGUUCAAUCCUCGUUAUAAGUA
rnacentral:tRNA from 1 species